rnacentral:lncRNA from 1 species
CAGGAUUCCAGAACGAUCAUGUACGUGUUUUUCUCAGACGUCCUGAGAAAAUUACAGGCUGAAUUAUCUACUGUUUUUCUCUGAACUCCGUGCUCCUCCGGUAAUUUUAGUCCUGUCCGAAUGCACAUCUCUGAGUUUCGUCUCCUCGCCUUUAAUAAAAUAGAUAUUUGUCCACUGCCGCGCACAUAACUACAGUUUGGGCACACGUUUCCACGGAGAUCCACGUUAAAAACACAACAGCGACUGGAAAUGGAGGAGCUACUGAACUCUGCGAUGGUGUCAUGUGACCGAGAAAAAAAGCCUAAAAACUUACUGAUUCUCCUGUUUUUUUCAAUUGCAGUCCGGACACAGAAGUUUUAUCACUGAGUAGAAGCAGGAAAUAUUUUUCACAGACGUAUCAUCACCAAUGUUUUAUGAUAAUAUCGUAUUGUGGGAAGCCCUAAAAUUCACACCCCUAAUUAAAACAGCAGUGUAACAUGAGCUGAAGGUAAAACAGCAGCAGAACACACAGAUGAUUUAAGCUGGUUUAUUUGGUAUGUUGCAUAAAACCACAUAUAUAAUAAGACCUGAAUAAAUGGAAGCUUUCCCAAGCAUGAACAUGCAGUGUAUUAUCGCUGUCUCUUAAACCCUAUGGGUCAGUUUCCCAUAAGGAACAGGGAUUAAAUCUAGUUGUAUUUUCCUAUUCAGAAUGCGGUGUAGUUCAAGACCAGGCAUAAUCCCUGUCUGCUGUCCAAGAACUGCAACUUUACAUUUAAGACUUUUUAAUGGAAGUCUGUGUAAAUUGUGAAGCAUUUAAUAUUAUAUGCAACUAUUACAUAAAAAAAAAAACUGUAAAAAUUGAGAUUUAAGGUUUUUGCAUGACAGCAAUGACUUGGCCACCUCGUUUUUUUUUUUUUUUUUUACACACAUUAAUCAUCACAUCUUAUGUCUUACAGACUGUAGUUCUGUAUCUGUUUGUCUGCAUAGUUUAUUAUCCUCCUUCUUUUACCCUGUACUCAAAACCCACACCGCACAGCUAUUAUUAUUAUUAUUAUUAUUUGGGUGGUGGGUGGUUAUUAUUCUCAGCACUGCAGUGAUUAGCACUGAUUAGCAUGGUCGUGGUGGUGGUGUAUGAAGUGUUAGUGUGUUUUGUGCAGAAGGUACAAGUCAAUCAGAUACAGCAGUGCUGCUGGAAUUUUUAAACACCGCAAUGGCUACGUUUACAUGCAGCCUAAUAAUGCUGGAACAGGGUAAAAGAAGGCGUUGUAUAAAUGCUACAGAUAAAGAGUGUAAAAAGUGGAAGACUUCUUUAUUUUAGUAUCGAUCUUAAAGCUGUUUAUCUCCCCUCAGGUUAGUAGAGAACCUCAGACUCCACCUCAGAGGGGCAUUUGGUUACUGCAUGAAGCUGAGCUGAAGUGAAGGUAGUUAUACGAUUCAAAUAAAGAAUGUAUGUAAAUAAGCA